rnacentral:tRNA from 1 species
GACUAUGCUUGUAAAUGGUUCUACACUUGGACUGCAAAUCUUAAGUACGGGGUUCGAUUCCUCCAUAGUUC